UACGUAGGGUGCAAGCGUUGUCCGGAAUUAUUGGGCGUAAAGAGCUCGUAGGCGGUUUGUCGCGUCUGCUGUGAAAUCCCGAGGCUCAACCUCGGGCCUGCAGUGGGUACGGGCAAACUAGAGUGCGGUAGGGGAGAUUGGAAUUCCUGGUGUAGCGGUGGAAUGCGCAGAUAUCAGGAGGAACACCGGUGGCGAAGGCGGGUCUCUGGGCCGAUACUGACACUGAGAAGCGAAAGCGUGGGGAGCGAACAGG
rnacentral:rRNA from 1 species